GACGAACGCUGGCGGCGUGCCUAAUACAUGCAAGUAGAACGCUGAAGGAGGAGCUUGCUCUUCUGGAAGAGUUGCGAACGGGUGAGUAACGCGUAGGUAACCUGCCUGGUAGCGGGGGAUAACUAUUGGAAACGAUAGCUAAUACCGCAUAAAAUUGAAUAUCGCAUGAUAAUUGAUUAAAAGAUGCAAUUGCAUCACUACCAGAUGGACCUGCGUUGUAUUAGCUAGUAGGUGAGGUAACGGCUCACCUAGGCGACGAUACAUAGCCGACCUGAGAGGGUGAUCGGCCACACUGGGACUGAGACACGGCCCAGACUCCUACGGGAGGCAGCAGUAGGGAAUCUUCGGCAAUGGGGGCAACCCUGACCGAGCAACGCCGCGUGAGUGAAGAAGGUUUUCGGAUCGUAAAGCUCUGUUGUAAGAGAAGAACGAGUGUGAGAGUGGAAAGUUCACACUGGACGUAUCUACCAGAAAGGAC
rnacentral:rRNA from 1 species